rnacentral:rRNA from 1 species
GACGAACGCUGGCGGCGUGCUUAACACAUGCAAGUCGAACGGAAAGGCCCUGCUUUUGUGGGGUGCUCGAGUGGCGAACGGGUGAGUAACACGUGAGUAACCUGCCCUUGACUUUGGGAUAACUUCAGGAAACUGGGGCUAAUACCGGAUAGGAGCUCCUGCGGCAUGGUGGGGGUUGGAAAGGUUCGGCGGUUGGGGAUGGACUCGCGGCUUAUCAGCUUGUUGGUGGGGUAGUGGCUUACCAAGGCUUGGACGGGUAGCCGGCCUGAGAGGGUGACCGGCCACAUUGGGACUGAGAUACGGCCCAGACUCCUACGGGAGGCAGCAGUGGGGAAUAUUGCACAAUGGGCGGAAGCCUGAUGCAGCAACGCCGCGUGCGGGAUGACGGCCUUCGGGUUGUAAACCGCUUUCGCCUGUGACGAAGCGUGAGUGACGGUAAUGGGUAAAGAAGCACCGGCUAACUACGUG